GACGCUGAGGAGCGAAAGCAUGGGGAGCGAACAGGAUUAGAUACCCUGGUAGUCCAUGCCGUAAACGUUGGGCACUAGGUGUGGGGGACAUUCCACGUUUUCCGCGCCGUAGCUAACGCAUUAAGUGCCCCGCCUGGGGAGUACGGCCGCAAGGCUAAAACUCAAAGGAAUUGACGGGGGCCCGCACAAGCGGCGGAGCAUGCGGAUUAAUUCGAUGCAACGCGAAGAACCUUACCAAGGCUUGACAUGUUCCUGACCGCCGUAGAGAUACGGUUUCCCCUUUGGGGCAGGUUCACAGGUGGUGCAUGGUUGUCGUCAGCUCGUGUCGUGAGAUGUUGGGUUAAGUCCCGCAACGAGCGCAACCCUCGUUCCAUGUUGCCAGCACGUAGUGGUGGGGACUCAUGGGAGACUGCCGGGGUCAACUCGGAGGAAGGUGGGGACGACGUCAAAUCAUCAUGCCCCUUAUGUCUUGGGCUUCACGCAUGCUACAAUGGCCGGUACAAUGGGUUGCGAUACUGUGAGGUGGAGCUAAUCCCAAAAAGCCGGUCUCAGUUCGGAUUGGGGUCUGCAACUCGACCCCAUGAAGUCGGAGUCGCUAGUAAUCGCAGAUCAGCAACGCUGCGGUGAAUACGUUCCCGGGCCUUGUACACACCGCCCGUCAAGUCACGAAAGUUGGUAACACUUCGAAGCCGGUGGCAC
rnacentral:rRNA from 1 species